UAGUUAGCCCACUGCAG
rnacentral:misc_RNA from 1 species